rnacentral:rRNA from 1 species
UGCGCAGGCGGUUUUGUAAGACAGGCGUGAAAUCCCCGGGCUCAACCUGGGAACUGCGUUUGUGACUGCAAGGCUAGAGUACGGCAGAGGGGGGUGGAAUUCCACGUGUAGCAGUGAAAUGCGUAGAGAUGUGGAGGAACACCAAUGGCGAAGGCAGCCCCCUGGGUCGAUACUGACGCUCAUGCACGAAAGCGUGGGUAGCAAACA